rnacentral:lncRNA from 1 species
GUGCAAUGCAACUCAAUAUACCACUGAAAAGGCUCUACAAGUCUUUGAAAUACAGAAAAUGAAAUCAAUUUACAAAAGAAGUCAUUUCACCACUCGGAACCAAUUUGACUACUCUUUUACCCCUUGUAAUUCCUCUCAAUGUUCCCUCAAAUGCAUGUACAAAAUAAUCAAGCAUGGAGAAACAAGAUUAUAGAGGAAUCUACUACAAUAUCAAUCAAUAUGCUCAAUUGGAAUCAAUUCACACUUGGCGACAUUCAUGAAAAUGAAUUAAGAAUGCUCAUCGUGCAAGGUACAUAACUCCUACUCACCUGCCAAUCCUGCACGGUCCUGAUACACCUCCAAAAUCCACAGUAGGCAGUGGGGAACUUUUUUCUCUUGUUUCCUAGCUUCUUGCCCAACUGUGACAUGCAUUAAUUAUACAUGCAGUCUUAUAUCAAGGACUCAUAAUCUAUGUAUCAAUCAUAAGCAUAGAAACUUUAAUUGACUCAACUCCCCCUUCUCUAAAUCUUUUUUUUCUAUUAAUUAACUCACCAUUUAUGUGUAUUAGGGACUCCCUUGCAUGAGUACAAGGUCCCCCUUAGCCUAAUCUAGGCUUAAUACCCUAUUAUGGCAUGAAAUUCUUUAUUUCCCACCCGGAUGAACAGUAAUCCGGACCGACAGCUGGUUACUUCAUCCCGAGAUUGAUCUACUUUCCGAACUCCAAACUCUAUAAAAUUUAUACCUAAUAUUCUACACUUAUAGUGGUUUCCAGAAUGGUGACAUGCAUCACCAUCGGAGGCCGAUUGAUCUUCGAAACAAUUCACUGAAUUCAGGACUUCGACAGAGGUUUUCCGCAAUCUCGAAAAACCUUGCCGAAAUCCGAUUCUCUCUCUCUUAACCACCUCUAAAACCCCUAUCUAACCUCUUUACAGCCUCAAUUCCAUUAGGGGACUAGGUAGGGAUGGGGUACUUACCACUUUUUUUUCUCUCAUCUUCCCUUCUUCUUCUUCUUCUUCUUCUUCUUCUUCUUCUUCUUUUAUUUCCCCUUCUUUUUCUUCUUCUUCUUCGCCGCCUGAGACCUCCUCUUCUUCUUUUCUCUGUGUCUCCCUCUCUGUUUAAUCCCACCGCCACAGCAUCCCAAACCCCCCAUUUAAAUCACAUCAAGCAUUGUUCACCCUUUGUUUAAAAUUAUUAAAUUUCCAUUUUGCCCCUAACACUUCAACGUAUCUAUUGUUAUGCCAUUAACUUUUGAUUCCUUCCAAUUUUACCCCGUAUAUCAAUUUUAAGGACUAUUCUAUCCUUCUUUAUAUAGAAAAAAAAAUAUUUUGGGGUUAUUACAUCCUCCCCCCCUUAUAUAAAAUUCAUUCUCGAAUUUAAAAGAGUAAAUUACCUGAUCAUUCAAAGAGAUGAGGGUAUUUGCUCUUCAUACUUUGCUCCAAUUUUCAAGUGCAUUCUUCAACAUUGUGCCGGUGCCAUUGGACCUUCACCAUAUAUAUUUUCUUAUUUCUCAGCUUCCUGAUCUGAGUAUCAAGGAUAGCUAUAGGAAGCUUUUCAUAAUAAAGGUCUCCCUCUACUAUAAUUUCAUGUACUGGUAGCACAUGGGAUGGAUCCGGCACAUAUUUCCGGAGCAUAGAUAUAUGGAAUACUGGAUGCAUAUGGCUGAGGUUUGGAGGCAGUGCUAAUCUGUAAGAUACAUUGCCAACCUUGUCUCAAAGAGGCCAAUGUAUCGGGGACUAAGCUUGCCCCUCUUUCCAAACCUCAUUACUCCUUUCAUAGGAGAGAUCUUUAAGAAAACAUGAUCCCCCAUGCCAAACUGCACAUCUCUCCUUCUGACAUCUGCGUAGCUCUUCUACCUACUAAACGCUGUCCUCAACCUUUUCUGUAUUACUGAUACCUUUUCUGAUUUCUCUCUAAUCAAAUAUGGCCCUUCUAGGUGCUUCUCUCCAAUCUCAGAUCAGCACAAGGAAGAUCUACAUUUCCUCCCAUAAAGCGUCUCAUAAGGUGCCAUACCAAUAGUGGAGUGAUAGCUAUUAUUAUAUGCAAACUCCACUAAAGGUAAGUAUCUGUCCCAGCUACCUCUGAAAUCCAGUACACACAUUCUGAGCAUAUCCUCGAGGGUUUGAAUGGUCCUCUCUGAUUGCCUAUAUGUCUGAGGGUGAAAUGUUGUACUGAAAUCAAGCUGAGUUCCUAAUGCCUCAUGGAGUUUCUGCCAAAACCUAGAGGUAAACUGUGAACCUCUAUCUGAUAUAAUAGAAACUGGUACCCCAUGUAAAGACACUACCUUAUCCACAUAUAUCUCAGCAUACUGAGCUACUGAAUAUGUGGUUUUCACCAGUAAGAAAUGGGCUGAUUUUGUCAAUCUAUCUACAAUCACCCAGAUGGAAUCAUAUCCUUUCUGUGUUCUGGGCAGUCCAACCACAAAAUCCAUAGUUAUCCUUUCCCAUUUCCACUCGGGCAAAGGUAACUCUUGCAACAGUUCUGUUGGCUUAUGAUGUUCAAAUUUCACCUGUUGAUAAGUCAAACAAGAAGCCACAUACUUGGCCACAUCCCUUUUUAAUCCGUUCCACCAAUAUAUGCUUUUGAUAUCAUGAUACAUCUUGGUGGAACCAGGAUGAAUGCUAUAGGGAGUGUUGUGUGCUUCAUGCAUAAUCUUCUAUUUCAGAUCUCCCACAUUUGGCACACAAAAGCUACUGCCACACCUCAAUAUCUCAUCUACUAUCUGAAACCUUUCUGACUGUCCUGAUUGCGCUUCUCCUUUCAGUUUCACAAGGACUGGAUCUAAAUCCUGUGAAACCUUGAUUUCAUCUAUUAACCUCGGUUUCACCUGAAAUUGUGCAAUUAAAGGACGAACCUCUGAUACCUCAAAAGAUAGUCUCUGACCAAAUAAAUCUGCCAGAUCUCUGACUAUCUCUCUCCUCUGGACGGAGAUGUGAGAUAAACUGCCCAUUGACUUCCGGCUUAAUGCAUCUGCUACUACAUUAGCCUUGCCCGGAUGAUACAGGAUUUGGCAGUCAUAAUCCUUCAACAACUCUAUCCAUCUCCUCUGUCUGAGAUUCAAAUCUCUUUGCUGCUGAAUGUACUGGAGGCUUUUGUGAUCAGUAUAUGUUUCACAUUUCUCACCAUAUAAAUAAUGCCUCCAUAUCUUUAAUACAAAUAUGACAGCAGCCAUUUCCAAGUCAUGAGUGGGAUAGUUUACCUCAUGCUUUCUCAGCUGUCUAGAUGCAUAUGCAAUCACCUUGCCAUUCUGUAUUAACAUACAUCCCAAUCCCACUCUGAAAGCAUCACAGUAAACUACAAACCCGCCUGUAUCUGUGGGUAGAGUCAAAACUAGAGCUGAUGUGAGGCAAUCCUUUAGCUUCUGGAAGCUCUGUUCACAAGAAUCUGUCCAAGUGAACUUAACCUGCUUCCGAGUCAGCUUUGUUAAUGGGGUAGCUAUUUUUGAAAAGUCCUUUACAAACUUUCUAUAGUACCCAGCCAGACCUAGAAAACUUCUGAUUUCUAUUAUAUUUGUAGGUCUCGGCCAAUCCAUAACUGCCUCAACCUUCUUGGGAUCCACCCUGAUUCCUUCCUUGCAUAUUAUGUGUCCCAAGAAUCCAGCUUCCUAUAGCCAGAACUCACAUUUGGUAAGUUUGGCAUACAGUUCAUGUUCUCUCAAGGUUUGUAGUGCUAUCCUCAAAUGCUCUUCAUGAUAAGCCUGACUCUUAGAGUAUAUGAGGAUGUCAUCUAUAAAGACUAUCACAAACCUGUCAAGAUAGGUUUGAAAACCCUAUUCAUCAAAUCCAUGAAUGUUGUUGGAGCAUUUGUCAGCCCAAAUGGAAGCACUAGAAACUCAUAGUGCCCAUAUCUCGUUCUGAAUGCAAUCUUCAGUACAUAUUCCUUUCUGAUUUUCAACUGAUGAUACCCAGACUGCAGAUCAAUCUUCGAGAAGUACUCAGCUCCCUGCAAUUGAUCAAACAAGUCAUCUAUUCUGGGAAGUGGGUAUCUAUUUUUGAUGGUCACUUUAUUCAACUGUCUAUAAUCUAUACACAGUCUUAGUGACCCAUCCUUCUUCUUCACAAACAAAAUUGGGGCACCCCACGGUGAAGUAUUGGGCCUAAUAAAUCCCUUGUCUAGCAGAUCUUGCAAUUGCACCUUCAGCUCUCUCAGUUCUGUGGGUGCCAUACGAUAGGGAGCAAUUGAUAUGGGGUUUGUACCAGGAAGAAGUUCAAUACUGAACUCAAUCUCUCUAUCAGGUGGCAAUCCUGGUAAUUCUCCCAAAAAUACAUCUAGAUACUCCCUAACAACAGGAAUCUGCUGCAGAUCCACAGACUCUACCUGGAUGUCCAUCACAUAAGCUAGAUAGCCUUGACACCCCUUUCUCAGCAGCCUUUUUGCUUCCAUUACAGUCACCAAAUUCAUUGGGACUUCACUCCUCUCCCCUUGAUAUGCAAACUCACCCCCAUCUACAGGCCUAAAGAUAACAUUCUUUUCUUGGCAGUUAAUGGUGGCACGAUUGUUUGACAACCAAUUCAUGCCCAAAAUGACAUCAAAGUCUAACACUGCCAACUCAAUCAAAUCGACUGGGAGUGUUUUACCCUCUAUCUCUACCACACAGGUAGGAUAUAAAUAUCUCACUUCUAUACUGUCCCCUACAGGAGUACUAAUAGCUAAGGGAAUGUGCAUCAGUAUCUUAUCCUUAGCUAACUUUUUAGCAAAAUAAAGGGAUACAAAGGAAUGGCUAGCUUCAGAAUCAAACAGUACUCUAGCUUUAAUCUUAUCAAUAAGGAGCAUACCUGUUACCGCUGCAUUCGAUGCUUGUGCCUCUUGCGGAUUAACUGUGAACACCCUUCAUUGUCCUCUGCCUAUGGGAGCUGACAGCUGAGAUGGUCUGGCACUCUGUUGCGAUGCUUGUGUCUGACCUCUGCCUCUGCCUACAGGCCCCCUACUACUAGGCCUGUCCAUCUGCACAGAAGGGUAGGAUGCAGAAGGUAUAAACUGCUGGGUGGCAUCCUGAGGGCAUUCUCUGGCAAAAUGACCCGGCUGUCCACAUCUGUAGCACACUCCCUGACCCAUUCUGCAUCUGCCAGGGUGCUUCUUUCCACAUGUGUCACACACUGGCCAUGACUGAAACCUUGGUUCAGUCCUGGUCAUGGCAACUGGAGGACGAGUUGCUGAUGGUAGAAAAGCAUCCUAUGACUGACCUCUUCUCCUCCACUUCCUCUUACGUGGGGCAGGUGGAGCUGAGCGUAUAGACUGCUCUAUCAGGCCCUCCGAGAGAUCUGCUCCCUUAGAUCUACCUCUGCUGCUUUGCCCUUUCCCCACACUCAUUUUUCUCUGUUCUCUUUCAGCUCUUUCCUCUUUGCUUCUGGUCUCCCACUGUUUUGCUUUAUCAAUAAGCUUGGACAAAGUGGAGAUCUCUACUGCCAGCACUGCAUUAUAAUGCGGGAAAAUCAAACCCCGCCUGAAUCUUUCUAUCCUGGCAGCUCCAGUGGGGAUAAUGUAAGGAGCAUACCUCCCUAAUCUGGUAAACUCACGAGCGUACUCAGCUACGCUCAUUCCGGGCGUCUGCUUCAGCCUCUCUAACUGAAGAGCCCGAUUCUGCCUCUCCGCUGGAGAUAAGAACUCAUCUAUUACUGCUUGCCCAAACUCUUCCCAGGUUGGAGGAUUCCUACUGCACAAUCUAUCCUCCACGUGCCUCUGGUACCAGUCGCAGACAUCUUCUUUCAUAGUGAGCCCUACAAUCUCUAUGGCCCUUGCAUCAGAACAAGACAAUCUUCGAAUCAUCUUCUCCGUUUCCUCCAGGAAUCUCUGAGGAUCCUCACCUUCUUCCCCCUUAAACUCCGGGGAUUCUGAGCCUCAGAAAGUCCUAUACAGAAAUCCCCUCAUCAUCCAGAGCCCGCCUGGCCAUACUUCUCGGCACAGGUACAGGAGGUGGGAUAGAUGCCGCUGACGGGGCAGGAGGCUUUCCUCGAGCAAUCUGCUCUCUUAAAGCCUGAUUAUCUGCCAAAAGUUGUUCUACCAGUGGAUCUCUACUUCCUACCUCCUCUUGAUCAUCAACUCUCCGCCUGUCUGCAGGAGAAGAUUUUUCUCUUUGGGGCUCGACAUGUGUGGAACCCGCAUCCAAUACUAUAUCUGGCUCCAUCCUCUUUCCAGGACGAGCAGGUCCUCUUCUUGGAGGUAUUCUUUAUAUGACUCUAAAAAGGUCAAAGAGAGAGGGUAGUCGUUACACACUAAGCCAUAAUAUAUUUUACUGAAUUGUAAAUGACUCAUAAAAUAACAUACAGAAAAACCCUAUGCUCCAUAGUAUAAUCCUAUACUUAAUCCUGACUCACUCUAUUGCUCUGACAGGACUCUUCUUAACCUUUGCUCUGAUACCAAACUUUGUCACGACCCCCACCCUGCUUCCGGCGGGCGGUCGCGAUGGUCCUAGGGUGCGGGUAGGCAUAAGGCCACCAGCCACCACGUAGAACCCUACUAACAUAACACAAACAUCCUUAAACCUCCGAAACAUUUUGGCAUGAUAUAUGCACAAAAUGAGCACUUUUGAUCUAUGUUAACUGUUAGGAUAUAUCAAAACAUACAACCACUCUACCUGUCAGAGCAGCAAUCAUAUAACCUGUCACAUAAUAAACCUGGACAAUAUAUAGCAAUACAUUAUCACAAGCACACAAUUGAUCUGUACAAAACCUGGUUCCCAAUCCAUCCAUAGCCGACCCAUAUCUACAACAGGAUCUAUGUCUAUAACUGUACACUAUAUACAACUGAAAGGUUUAUAAUACACCAAAAAAAAUAUAGAAACCUCUAUUCUACAUUAUACUAUGGAGCAGCACAGCUAGCAGGCAACCUCUAGUCCUACACCUCUCUAUAUGGCACCUGCCCUGCAAUAAGGAUAUCAACUGGGGAGUGAGUAUAUGAAUACUCAGUGAGUGGAGUAGAGAGUACUAUGCACAUGAGACAAGAUAUAAUUAUGGCUCGAGGUGAAAUCUCAAGAGCAUAUGAGCAAUCAUCGAUAACAAGGUGUAUAAAACUCAACAUAAGAAAUAUGGAGUAAAUCAUUACAGGAUUACCACAAUCACAAUUAACUCAUCUGAAGCAUAUAUAGAAUAAUCAAAUAAACAUGAAUGAUACAUCAUGAAUAUGCUCAACAGAUUAUAACACUGAAAUAUGCAAAUCAGGGUGUCAAUACGCGAAGUCAUCACUAGACAGUUGUCGGAAGGUGAGUCUUACGCCCUAGGUGAACUACAACAACUCCUUACUGUCACAUGCAUAUGCAGGAUAAGACAUCAUACUGAUAAUGUAAAUGCUGGCCAGUUUCCAAAACAGAAAUCCAUAGAAACAUCUCACAUCUGCAUACUAAACGGCACCUCGCGGGGUCUUACUUUGCCUGGCGGCAAGCCAUACUACACCUUGCGAGGUCUUACUAUGCCCGACGGCAAGCAGAUAUAAGUCGCAGGACCGGCCGAUCCUACGCCUAGGGCGUAUUCCCCGUAGAAAGGGACUGGGCUAUGUCCACUUAGGGGAUAACUAUGUGCACAUAGGCCGAUGUCUAACCCCAUCAACUAUAGGUGUCCUAUAGAUAUGCCAAGCUAUGCAUAAAUGACAUAAUGCACCUUCCCAAUACUCAACUAUAAAGGAGUAUAAUCAAGACUACCACUCACUCGACCACGAUCCAAUCAUAAACUAACAUCAGGAUUGGAAGCAAGGAGUUAAGGGAGUGCAAUGCAACUCAAUAUACCACUGAAAAGGCUCUACAAGUCUUUGAAAUAGAGAAAAUAAAAUCAAUUUACAAAAGAAGUCAUUUCACAACUCGGAACCAAUUUGACUACUCUUUUACUCCUUGUAAUUCCUCUCAAUGUUUCCUCAAAUGCAUGUACAAAAUAAUCAAGUAUGGAGAAAUAAGAUUAUAGAGGAAUCUACCACAAUAUCAAUCAAUAUGCUCAAAGGGAAUCAAUUCACACUUGGCGACAUUCAUAAAAAUGAAUUAAGAAUGCUCAUCGUGCAAGGUACAUAACUCCCACUCACCUGCCAAUCCGGCACGGUCCUGAUACACCUCUAAAAUCUACAGUAGGCAGUG